GCUUUGAUGUGCGCUCAAGACUGGCUAUGGGAUAUGCUGAAUGGUGGAUCAAAAUUCGAUGGUGAAACAUUUUGGGAAGAAACUGAAGCAGACGAUGAGGUGAUCAACAUGGAGGAAGAUACUUGAUAAGAAAUAAUUAAGAACUAAAAUGAGUGAUGCUCGUUUAUAGACCAAUUUGUUUUUCUUUGCUUGUUUUACGAUGAAUUUAUGAGUUUGAAAUUUUAAAUUAUUAUUAUU